CAGUGAGACAUUUAAUUUAAAUUAAAAAAAAUUUCCUCAUAAUCCUCGUACAAUUAAACUGUGUCUGUGUUAAAAUAAACAAAGGAAUAGAUUGGUUGCUCCUAAGAUUUAUAUAUCAAAUUCUGAGCAUUUAUUGUCAAUAAUCACUUGGAAGUUGUAAAAUGUAUCGGAGAAAGUUUCUAUUGCCGACUGUUCUUGCUGAUUUGCCUGCACAUCUUCCUCAUG